CUGACAUACACCCAAGACGACACAAAAGAGGAGCAAAAAGUGACCUACAUGCUGCCUUUUCACAAAAUGACCAAUCAGAUGAGGGUCUGCAUGUACUGACUGUGGGUACCAGGCGGCUCAUGAAUGCUGAGAUGCUGGGGCAGAUGGAGCGUCCCACGGGAGUGUGGGUGUUCCCAGAGUGCUCAGCAACGGACCCAGAAGUCAACCAGAAGCACUUCCAGUUCACUUCCAGGUUUUGGGAAGGAUGGGAUUCACAUACACCUUGUACCACUUUUCCUCCUCCUUUCUCUUCCCUGUGCACCCCCACCUCUGCUCCCCUGCUCUGGAUUAUCUCCAACAAGAAAAUUAACGUGAGCAACAGUUUGUCAGA